rnacentral:rRNA from 1 species
UACGGAGGAUGCGAGCGUUAUCCGGAUUUAUUGGGUUUAAAGGGUGCGUAGGCGGAUAGAUAAGUCAGUGGUGAAAACCUGCAGCUUAACUGUAGACUUGCCGUUGAUACUGUCAGUCUUGAGUAUGGUCAAGGUAGGCGGAAUGUGUAAUGUAGCGGUGAAAUGCUUAGAUAUUACACAGAACACCGAUUGCGAAGGCAGCUUACUGGGCCAUUACUGACGCUGAUGCACGAAAGCGUGGGGAUCGAACAGG